rnacentral:ncRNA from 2 species
UUUGGUGUGUGUAACUGGCGUAAACGUGGUGAACCACGGGGGGAGCACACAGAAUAACAGCCGUUCGCCUGGGCAAAGUAU